rnacentral:tRNA from 1 species
UAUAUUUUGGUGUAUGGUGCACAUGAACUUUUGAUGUUCUUGGUGUCAGUUUGAUUCUGUCAGAUAUAA